GACCGUGUAGCUCAGUUGGCAGAGCAUUGGGCUGGUAUUCCAAAGGUCGUAGGUUCGAUUCCCACCGUGGCCA